GCACACCAUUCACCAUAAUAACUGUCAUGCUCUUUUAUUAAUUCAAAACAUAAAGCAUUUGCACAAUACGCAGCGGAUAGAAAUCAAAUCAAUCAUGCAAAACAUGUAACACAUUACAUGUAAAAUUAUUCAACAAGGUAAAACAUCCCGUCCCGAUGUUACAUCUAUCAGAGCAUGACCCACUAAGGAGACUACACUAGACUCCAAGC
rnacentral:lncRNA from 1 species